GUCCUGACUUGGGAUUAAACUCUGAAUUUGGAAUGAUUUCAUUGCAGGGAUCUGGAGGACAACGCUCAUCUUUCGGAGUUGUUGCAGCAUUUUCAAAGCAGAGCUGAACGGAUUUGUCUGGUUAGGACAUGGACGCGCUGGAAGGGGUUACAUGAGACCGUAUCAGUGGUACAAGUACUGAAUCAGAGGCGCUUGGUGGAGGGAAGCUGGAAGAUCUGGCGGAAGAGAAGGCUGCAGAUUGUUACAGCAAUACAGUUCUUGGAUUGGGAGAAGAGGUGGCUUUGUCUCAAGGCCUUUACAAUAUGGCGGCAGCGCAUGGUGACCAGACGAGGACUGGGAAGAAUGGGAAUUGAAGAUUUCCCAGGAUUUGGGAAAUGAUGGGGUGCAGUAAGAGCGGACAUAACAUUCCUGACAAAACUACAGAGGCCUCGCUGCACAUCCAGAGACAACGCUUAACAGGAAAGAACAAAUCCCAGGAGGCCAGGACAGGUAGUAGUGCCAGGAUGGCCACUACCUAGAAAAGAACUACAAGUCUCAGCCUGUACUGUAUGGUGGUUUGUAGUUUCCUAACCCAGGAGAGGUGUGCUACAUGUCCAUCGGUGUUCAGUCCCUGCAAUGAAAAAGGGUCCUGAAGAUUGAUAAACCUUACGUCCCGCUCAACAGCUGGAAAACAUAGGAGGCGUGUCUAAACAGUUUGGUGAAUGGCAUCAGAAAACAAAUAAAAGCGAAUAUACAAACAAAUGACCUUUAUUGGCCUUCAAAAUAAUCGCCAUCCUUCACAACACACUUUUAGAAAACUGUUCAUGAGCUUCUGGAAACUGUCCGCAAAGGCUUCUUUAGGAAUCGAUCGCAGAUCUUCUUGGAUUGCUGCCAUGUCUGCAAAACAUUGUCUUGACCCUAAACUUUUGCAAGGGACUUUGGGGAAGUCGUGAUUGCCAUUCCAUCAAUUACCGCUUGAA